AGAACAAAGGGCAAAGAAGGGAGGGAAGGAUAUAAGGAAAGAGGCGAGAAGUCUUUGUUGUGGCUUAUUCUUAGUAUUUACGAAUAUGCAUUCAAAUAGUUUGUAGGUCCGGGGCCUACUGUAGAAGAACAUGAGAUACUGUUCUGAAAGUGUAUGUGCAGGUAGAUCAUGAGGCAAAGGCUUAUUUGGAAUGCUUGUAGGAUUGAAACUUCAAUCAGUAGCUGGAACAUCCUAGUUGCCAGCCAGCAGCAAACUUAUCACCUGCAGAAUUCCCAUUCAAUGACCAAGGACCACAUCCCCGGAACUGUGCAUGGGACAGGGCAUUUCCCCGAGGCCAGCCUUCACCUUGAGUUGUGCUGGUGUGAAGUAGAUGACUGAACGCAGGUGUCCUUAGCUAAGCAAGACUGGGAAUGAAGGUAGCAGACAGGAGUCAUGGGAAGGAAGAUGAAGUCCAGCCUUCAAUUUCAAUAAUAUGUUACCAUAUGCUAGAAACUAUACUCACUGCUGGACAUGUGACAGUGACCAAAGCAGAGUGAAAUCCCUGCCUCAGGAGCUUCCCUUCCAGUGGGGACAAGAUAGAGUGAUUUUGUGCUUCACUUAGGAAACAAGAACUGUGGGGGUAAAUGAGAGGCUUAAAUGUCUUCAGGAUUUCCCAAGUUUCUCGUUUUAAGAUAUCAGUCUGAAUUGUGAAAGUCUGUCUUCUGUGCUUGGCUCUUCACUGGGCUCUAUGGGGUCUCUGCUGAGGCCCUUGUUCUACAGCUUCAGUAGGUAACGGGCCUGCGCCCAUGCCAGCCAUUGUCCCCCUGGCCAACAGGGAGCAAGUGGUCUGCUGAGAGAGGAGUUCACAGUCAAAUGUCAUGGAAUAAUGAGGGUUGCCAUUUGAUUCUUUGUAACAGAAACUCAGCACAGGUUCGGAUACAUCUUUUUAGGGUUUCAGAAACAAUCAUUUAAGGGCCAGUGAGGUGGCUGAGCUGGUAACAGUGCUUGCCAAAGACUGGCAACCGAGUUCAAUCUCCCAUGUCCCACAUGGUAGAAGGAAAGAGCUAAAUGCGGGACAUGGUCAGCUAACUUCUGCACAUAUGCUGUGUGUAACACUUGCACACACACUAAGUAAAUGUAAUGUUUUAAUCCAAAGUUUAGACGUAUCGAGAUAAUGAGUAAAAGUUGCCGCUUGUCAGGAGACCCUAUUUAACACUUGAGCUCCUCAGAGAAAGCUUCCCUCUGAAGUCUACCAGUUGAUAUCAGCUGUGGUCACUUAACAAAAUGAAGGCAGUGCCCCAGCCACAGAAGUCUGGAGAAAUGGGUCCUGUGUUUCCAUCUUUCUCUGAAGUAGGAGUGUGGAUUCCCCCUAAUCUCCAUGAUACAGUUUGAAGUAGCCAGAACCUGGGCUGUUACUUCGUGUGUGCCACCCGCAGCUUCCUGGCAGAAGAUUCACUUUCCCUCAAAGGGAAUGUUAGAGUGGACUCACCCUUCUCCAUACCCGCCUCUCUGACUUCUUGGAGCAGAUCUGAGGAGGAGCUUUAACUGGUAGGAGAAGGGGUGGGCAUGUAUUUAAUAGCAUCCAUAGGUAGAUCCAACUUCUCGCCCUUUAUUUUAUUUAUUUUUUCGCCCUUUAUUUUAAACAGCCAGCUUUUACAUGAACAGAAUCACCUUGGAACAUCAGUACUGAAAGUUUGAUAGUCUGAUACCUGUAUUAAAGAAAAGCACCCCUCGUCUCACACUAUCCUUUGGUAUUUUAAUUCACUCAUGAUAUCCUAUACGUGCAUUUUGCUGUACAAAACAAUUUUACCCAAGUUGCAGAGCUGACCUCAGUUCUCCACCUGCUUGCUCCCUAAGUGUAGGUGACUACAGGCACAGUACCAACCAAUUCCCAGUGGUGACAACCUUUGAUGGAGGUCUGUCCUCAAGUCCCUUGGAAGUGAAAAGAAAUAAAACUUGAGCUGUGCAAUCUCUGAUCCAGUUAGGCCUGUUGGGUUUUAGCUGAAACUUUCUAAAAGGGCUAGAGAGUUGACAUUGUGAGGCUGAGGGCAAGCAGACCAGGAUGGGGUCAGUGGAGAAAGGAGCAUGAACUUCACCUGAAAAAUACCUCUCUUCUAUAAAUCUCUCAGUGGCAUUUGGAUUAAUCAAGCAUAAUUAAACAUAGUUAGGUUUUUUGUCAGAUUGUAGUUCAAAAUAAUAUUCAUCUAUGGAGAGGGUAAUAUAUUCUGUAGAAAUUUUAUUAAGCAUUUUAGCUAAGCAAACAGUAAGGAGAACAAAAUCAGCCUCAGGAAGGUUAAUUACUAAAAACGAUGGAGUAUAGUAGAUUAUGUAAAUCAUUUUCCUUUUGAAUACCAUGGCUUGAGCUUUAAUUUACAUAGAGAGGUAUCUUGGAUUUGUUUUUUACAUUCUGAUUUUCAAAAGUACCAAAUUAUACUUGCAUUCUUUAAAAGUUGUAAUCACUCCAGGCUUCUAUUAAACCUGCUCUAACUUCUUCCUAUUAGAGUUUGCAAAACUGAACUGCAGUUUCCUUCCAACGAAUUCUCGCAGGAUUCCACCUCGUUUGUGGAAGUGAUGAGAGCUACUGUUUUUAUUUCUCUACCAAAUGGUGGCUUUAAGUGCAGUAUCUGGGGAGCAAGUGUAUGAAAGCAUUCAGCCCAGGCGAGCCUUUGCGGACAGUGUUCACUGAAAAGAGAAGAGAAAAGAGAGAUGAAAUUGAUUUGAAAUGCUAUUUCUCCUUGAGUGGAGACUGCUCUCUCCCCUUGCCUGGCUCAUGGGACAGGUUCUGAUCAGAUCUGGAACUGGUACGUUCAGAUUUGGCACUUGCCCAAGUUUCACAGUGAGACUUUCGAAAGCAUUGUCAUCUCAGUAGUGGAAGCUUCCCGACGAAACCUGAACUUGCCCUUUUCAUAAGAAGUGAUGCCCAGAUUUCCUCGGGGUAGGACAGAGACAGAGGUCUAAAGCCCUCUGAGAUUUUCAGAGAAACUCCCUUCAGUUGGGUUCUGUUCGGCCAUUUGUUUAGUGCCUUUUCAGUGAAGAUCCUAUGUUCCUGCAGAACUGCCUCCUUUUGAGAUGGUGAACUUUCACCUACAAGAACAUCCCAGUUAAGUAAUCCUGACUUCCUUUAAACGUGGCCUAUUAAUGUAAACGCUCUCUCUGGCUAACUUUUGCAAACGUCAAAGAUCCAUAUGUGUAGUAACUGAGCAAUGCUGGCCAGCCCUGCAGUUUGCUCAGUAAAGAGGUGCAGAAGUGUGGCAGGUGGGGCUGGUCUAAUUGCUCUCCCGCUCAGCCUGACAUCACCAAUUGAUUGAAAUUGGCCCAGUGCCAAUAGAAUUCAUAGUGACAACAGAAUUGCUUCAUGUUUCAAAUGAUCUUACCCUCCAGUUCUUCUUGAGAAAGAAAAAGUGCAACCUUAGCACUCAGUGGGAACAUCUCUUAGGCAUUGACGCAUGCUAGUCACAAGGAGAUUGUGACAGUUAACCGUGACGACAAGGCAGUGGCAGUCACCACUUAGCUAUGCUGAAUGUCAGGUCCAGGAAGAGUCUAUGAAGUCAGUCAGGGCAAGAUUGAAAUGUGAUAUUGUUUACAUUGUGGAAUCCAUUUCACAUAAUGGCUUGCUUUCUCUUUGUCAUUUGAAUCAUUUUUAGAAGCUUUAAUCUUUAUCUUAAUUAAAAGCAUAUUUUUUUAAGAAUAACUUCUACCUUUAUGUUAAAUGUUGAGCUUAAUAUCCCACAUGUAAUUAGGAGUUUUGAACACAUUGACAACUGAAGCCUGUAACUUACAGGGAGAUGAAAAGACUUGAGACUACCUGCCGCUCUAAAGGGACCAGGCUGGACCUUGCAGUCUCACUUGGCAAGUCCUUUCAGGAAGCAGAAUUUUCCCAAUUGUUUAUCCAGCAUGAAAAGGGAAAUAGAAGGGCCAACCAUGCCUGUUCCCUUUCUUGCUGGGUGUUAUAUAACUUCCUGGGGAAACAUCACCAAGUCAAUUGCUUUCUUUUCACAUCAAAAAGGACCUCUUACGCAGGGUGGUGGUGGCUGCAGCGCACACCUUUAAUCCCAGCACUUGGGAGACAGAGGCAGGCUGAUCUCUGAGUCCAAGGCCAGCCAGGGCUAUACACAGAAAUCCAGUCUCAAAACAACAUCAAUAACAAAAAAGUUCCUCUUAGAGCUGAGAUAUUAUUUAGACCAAUAGACAUUUGUGAGACUAAUAAGUGUAUCUUGACUCAGAUGGCAGCAAAGUUUACUUAUAGUGCUUUAUAGCACUAAGUGAUUUCAGAUGUUCCGGGAACUUUGCUGGGGAUUUAGCUCAAUGGUUGAGCACUUCCCUGGCAUAUGUGGAGGCCUGGCUUCCACCCCUAGCACUGAAAACAGGAAACAAAUUGCUGUGAAUUGUCAUCUCCACAGUUCCUUCUGUCCAUUGUUCCAGCUGCUUCUCUCUUAACGCCGUACUCAGAAUCGGAGCUCAAGUUGUGAUUGCAUCAGUCCUGGACAAUAACACUAUUAGAAAAAAGGGAAGGCUAACCCUAAUCUCUGCUGAGUUCGUACUUUAACGUGCUUUGAAGUUAUAAUUGCUGCUUAAGGUUUAUAAGCAGAGCAUUUGCUCUUCCAAGUUCCCACCCAAGUGCUUGAAGUGGAACUGUUUCCCAUAUUUCGAGCCUGACCUUAGAAGGCCUGGGAAGCACUCGGGCUGUUCGAGAGGUGUGAGUGAAAAAGGUCAGUGCUUUGCCAAGUUCUCUUUGUAACUCCUUGACUAAUUAGGGUUGUCUACAUGAAAUAAUUGCUGCUUUGAUAAGAGACAAAUAUUAACUUACACAUGAAAUGAAUGUUCGUUGCAGAGUUUGUACCCAUAGGUACAAGUCUGAGCUGAUUCACUCUGUGCCUCUGUUGACUUAAAUUACAGUGAUGAAUGUACACACACACACACACACACACACACAUUUUCACAGUUCCCGAGCAACCUUGUGGUUUGUAAAAUGAAGCUCAGCCCCAUACGUUAUGCUGUCAUGAAUGAAGGAUGAUUAGAUUGGGUCAUUUGUCACUCCACGUUCUACGGAGAGAAGUAUGUUGUGACUGUUGGAAAACACAACCGAGACGUGCGUGGCUUGGACCGUGCUCCUUGAGUUGCUAAGCAAUCUGUUGUUUGUCAUAACCAAACCAAUCCUGCCGCACACAGGCACUUCUGUACCCUGGUAACCAGAACAAUAAAAUGGCAGUUGAUCUUCCCA
rnacentral:lncRNA from 1 species